UACGAAGGGGGCUAGCGUUGCUCGGAAUCACUGGGCGUAAAGGGUGCGUAGGCGGGUUUUUAAGUCAGAGGUGAAAUCCUGGAGCUCAACUCCAGAACUGCCUUUGAUACUGAGAAUCUUGAGUACGGGAGAGGUGAGUGGAACUGCGAGUGUAGAGGUGAAAUUCGUAGAUAUUCGCAAGAACACCAGUGGCGAAGGCGGCUCACUGGCCCGGUACUGACGCUGAGGCACGAAAGCGUGGGGAGCAAACAGG
rnacentral:rRNA from 1 species